GACGAACGCUGGCGGCGUGCUUAACACAUGCAAGUCGAACGAUGAAGCCUUAGCUUGCUUUGGUGGAUUAGUGGCGAACGGGUGAGAAAAACGUGAGCAACGUCCCCAGAACUUUGAAUUAACGCCGGGAAACCGUGGCUAUUACCGGAUAGGUGCCGAGGCGCCAUGUUCUUCGGUUGGAAAGUUUUUGCGUUUCUGGAUCGGCCCACGGCUUAUCAGCUUGUUGGUGGGGUAAUGGCCUACCAAGGCGACGACGGGUGGCCGGCCUGAGAGGGUGACCGGCCACACUGGGACUGAGACACGGCCCAGACUCCUACGGGAGGCAGCAGUGGGGAAUAUUGCACAAUGGGCGCAAGCCUGAUGCAGCAACGCCGCGUGGGGGAUGACGGCCUUCGGGUUGUAAACCUCUUUUAGUAGGGAAGAAGCGCAAGUGACGGUACCUGCAGAAAAAGCACCGGCCAACUACGUG
rnacentral:rRNA from 1 species